AGUGUCGGGGGCGACCGGCGAUGGCUCGUUUAGGCAUAAAUGCGGCCGCGAGGUCGCGCGCAAGGUUACCGAGCGAGAGCCCGGCGCGCCGCCAUUUCGACUACGCGAGUCGCGCGCGCGCCAGCUCCCGUCACCUCGCGGUCUACCCGGCACCCUGCACCACCCUCCGACACCCCUGCCCUGCUACACCCACCCAACAAUUACAACUUAAUCUCCGCCGCGGUAUCCAGCCUCCUAACUAGACUUAACCGUACCGACUAACUUAUCCCUUCCCAUUUUCAAAAAUAACCCACCCCGUUCGUUUGACAUCAAUCCCUGGAUUGUUAUCAGAUUUAUGUGUCACGUGUAUUUUUGUAAUAGCACCGGUAAUUGCCUACAGUAUAUAGCGCGCGAUAUAUUAAUUUUUUUACUAGAUUUUUCGUUCGAAUAUUGGAAACGUUUUCAAGAAAAUUCUACUGUUGGUGUUGUAUAGGAGAGUUUGAUCCCUUAUCGGAGCCUUGUCCUUUAUUAUCGGGCGUAUUUUUUUUAUCUGAUUCGCGAUUGAGUGUUUGUUUUGCGAGGGAGGAGCGCGCGCGUCGCCGCUGUGACGCGGUUAGGCCUAAAUUCACGGCAAACGGCGUGGACGCGCGAAUAAAAUUCGCACAACUUUCGGCGAAAAGUGUCCAAUAAGAUUCCUAUAGGCCUAUUUGAAUAACUGUUGGAAAUCACUCUGGGGCCUACAGGGAGCAUAAUUAAGUUGAUUUUGUUAUAUUUUUCGCGAAUAAAUAUUGUUUUAUUGACAUUUUUGUGAAGUGAUUGUGCGCGGCGAUACCGCGGAUUUGCAAUGAUCGGAUGAAACUGGAGAUCAUGGAUCAUUCGAGAGAUUUCAUCAUGGAAUGAUCUGUCUUCUAUUGGGCGAAUUACAGGAAUGCAGAAUGUACGACGGAGGCUGGCCCGUUUUCCCGGACCACAACUGUCCGGGACGGUCAGCCCUACAAGACUCGGCCGGGGCGGAAAAAGAAUAUUUUAAAUCAAAUGAAUAAGUGCCGAGGACCAUUGCAAGACCAUGUGGAUGAAAACUGAAGAGCUGAUAUUUACAAGAUUGCUGGAAAGGAGAGCACUGCCGGAGGUCCAUGGACCAUCAAGUUGGACCAUCACGUCUUGGACCAUCCUGGGAGAAGACUGAGCGACAGUUUCCAGUAGAUAUGGAUGGCAUUGCCGGGCACCACGAUUCGGCUUUCAUCAUAUUGCACCUUCUGAGGUUGGAUAAUACAAACUGCGAGGUAAACAUCGACCAAUGAAGUUGCAUCAAAACAAUGCUCAUGCAAUUUCAUUGGUCGAUGAUGUCCUCGCGCACCGCUCCGCUAGCCCGCUCCGCUCUGGUGGAAAGGCCGCCUUAACCAUCAAGCAGUCUAUGACAGAUACAUACAGGGUGUUGCAAAAAGGGUAUACUAAGCCAAAACUUAACGUUACGUGACUUUUUAGUUUUUUUUUCGCGAAUUUUGACAUUUUGAAUUUCAUUUUGAGCUUAGGUAUAUCAAGUGCAACACAGUCAUAUAGGUUUCGGCUUAGUAUACCUACCCUUUUAGCAACACCCUGUAUAAAUUGUUUUGAUUUUUCACCUAUAGUCUCCGUUUUUUAAUGAUAGUUGAGUAAACUACGGAUCAAAAAAUCGGCCCUAGGACGGUGACUAAUUAGAGAUACGA